GAUGAGCGCUGGCGGCGUGCCUAAUACAUGCAAGUCGAGCGAACAGACGAGGAGCUUGCUCCUCUGACGUUAGCGGCGGACGGGUGAGUAACACGUGGAUAACCUACCUAUAAGACUGGGAUCACUACGGGAAACCGGAUCAAACACCGGAUAAGAUAUUGAACCGCAUGGUUCAUUAGAGAAAGACGGCUUUGCUGUCACUUAUAGAUGGAUCCGCGCCGCAUUAGCUAGUUGGUAAGGUAACGGCUUACCAAGGCGACGAUGCGUAGCCGACCUGAGAGGGUGAUCGGCCACACUGGAACUGAGACACGGUCCAGACUCCUACGGGAGGCAGCAGUAGGGAAUCGUCCGCAAAGGGCGAAAGCCUGACGGAGCAACGCCGCGUGUGUGAUGAAGGUCUUCGGAUCGUAAAACUCUGUUAUUAGGGAAGAACAGAUGUGUAAGUAACUAUGCACGUCUUGACGGUACCUAAUCAAGAAGCCACGGCUAACUACGUG
rnacentral:rRNA from 1 species